UAACCUAUAGUCGACAGGUUUCUUACUGGGUCUUUAGCUAAACAGUGAGGUAUUUAGUACUAGUAUAUCAAUACAUCCUACUCUACUAGUACAUUGUGGGAAUAAUGGGAGGGCACUAGAGCUCCAAUAUGCGUUCGGCGAGCUCUAGGACCGAGUCCAAAGGGAUGUGUUCGACUUGGAUCGACAUUCAGGAGAGAAAUUUGGAAAGGGUGAGACAGAGCACGUUUGACUCGGACAUGUGACCAAACAUCUAUCGACGCAACAGACGACUAGUACUCACUUGAGGUGACUAACCUACUAAAAAAACCAUUGAAGUCGCAAUCUUGCUAUAAGGUCGUCGUACACCCCACCACUAAUCUCUUGUGAUCACGUUGCUAAGGACACCCCCUAAUUACACGUUGCUUUCGCUACAACUAAGCGCUUGUUUUGUUGAUUAUUUAGCCAUCUCAUUGACAUGUGUGAUCUAGGUCUGCUUGUCAGUUAGGAAUUUGGUAAAAUAAAAAAAUCAACUAUUGUUGAAUGGGUAAAACAAAGUCACAACCAUCAUGCAAUCAUGCUUGUGUUCACGCAAUUGUGAUCGGGUCUUUCAUGUAAUCAUGCUUGUGUUUGCAUCCAUAUGGCAGACAGAGAUUUCACUACCAUGUGACAUUGAUAGGAGUAGGCACUUAGAUACUCUGACAA
rnacentral:lncRNA from 1 species